CCGGAGAUAGGGUUUCUGCCUUUGAAACUACUGCUGGAGAUACUAUUGCUUUACCAUAAUAUCCCAAAGGCAAAUUGGGAAUUUUUUUACUGAAUAUAACAUAUAUAUAAGAAUAAACAAAAAUAAUAUAUGCAGGAAAAAAAUUUGACAAGUAAAUCCGAUAUAGGAACAAAAACUAAGAUUUGAGUAAAUACAAUAUCUUUAAAACAGAUUCCCCUCUCACUGUUAGUGCUUGUAAUUUGUUGAAUGUCCGUCUUCCAAGAUAUAAUAAAAAAAUUAGUAGAAAAUGAGCACUACGAAAAACUAACUACAUUUACAUUAAUUACAUAUUGAUAUGAGCCAACUGCAUCGCUCAUUAGAUGGUUAAAGAUAUGGCUAAGACAUACAUCCACACGUGAAGUGUGUCGACCUGAAAUAGAAGAAUCAUGUAACAACAGGUAUUUUGAUAAAGACUGAUCAUACACUGCAUUUAAUGAUGAGAUGGUAGCAAUUAGUACAUAAUACAACUGGCAACAGUACAAUCCAAAAGAACUCCUUUUUUUUUUUUUUUAGUUGACAAUUCUUACAAGGUUUAUUUCAAAUGAGAGGACAUACCUGAAUCAGCAUCGAAGGACUACCAAAAAUCCCAAUGGAAUUAAAGACAACAUAAACCAGAAAUUCAGUAUGGGAACUGCAAAUACCUACCUUUUUCUAAAUUGAGGCCCCGUUUGAUGGCUAUUUUUUUUCAAAAUAUAUUUUUUCUAUCUUUUUUUCAAUCAGACAUUUUUUAUUAAAAUAAUAUUAUACGUAAAUAAAAAUUUUUUCCUUAUUUUUCAAUCAUACAUUUCACAUCAAUUUACUAUUCUAAAAUAUAUUUUUAUAUAAAAAUGACUAUGAAACACCCCUUUAGAUAUGUACUCAAUUUAGUAGGGAUAGAUUAAUGAGCAUCGAAAAUCGAUUGAAUAUCAAAAAGUUCUUGAUUCUUGAAUAAAAUUUUGGAUACCUAACCCUGAAAUCGAAUUUGUCCUUUUAUAAGUUAUUAAUUUCUUACAAUUUAUUCAUUCCAAUCCAAUAACCCGAUCUAAUAAGUAACAAGUUCACGAGGCUCAACAAACUGCGAGUCUGCUAGAUCCAAAUAAUAAAUAUCCUAAUCAAUUAAAACCAUUCUUUUGUACAAUUAAAUCAUAUCAUUCUUGCUAGUGGCUACUCUUGAUAGCACUUUACAUGAUGUCACCCCCAUGAACUCAACUUGACGUGCUGCUCGCAAAUUCAUAAAAGGAAUUGAAUGUUAUUAUGCUAGAUAUUGCAUGUCAUAAAUAUUGGAUGGUAUUCGAUCAAAGAGUCAAAAAAUUGUUGAGAUGUUUGUUCGAGUUCAGGUCCAAUAAUUAUGUGAGCUCGAAUUCGUCUAUUUACGAAGGAAAAAGAUGGAGUUACAAGGGCCUAGUUCACAGGCCCUUGCCAGAUGAUAGAGAAGGUGGGGGCGAAUCCCACUCUUUUUUUUUAAUUGCUGUUGGACCCGACCCCUUACAGUGAGGGGGCCUGUACAGCCCCGUGAAUCGAGCUCCUGUGAAUGGAGCUCAGUCCAUUUACAAAAUACCCGAAGUGCAAUGAGUGAUUUCGGAUAAUGAAAUACCCAAACUAACCCACUCGAUACCCAAAACUACAAUUUAGCACUUAAUUAGAAGAAGCUGACGUAAAAUGCACAAACUAAUAGUUUAAUUUCACUAGUUCAUUGAAAAUGCUACAUGUUACAAGUUUUCUAAUACAGGCCAAAUGACAGAUCCUUUACCAAGAUUAGAAAGCCCUGUACUAGAUGUCUCUGUGACCAUCUUAGGGAUAACUAAUUAUCAUUUGCUCAUUUACAUUUCUAACGAAUUGUAAUGCUAUCUAGUCUACUUCCACAAACCACACCAAAAAGAAAGCUUAGGUAGCAACUAUUUAAACCUUGCUCGCGGAACUUCGACAAUUAACUUCGUACAUGUCCAAGCAAAUAAAAUAACAAAAUAUCCAUAUACCAAUGAAGCAAAACAAUCAUGCUACAUGUACAACUUAGUUUACAUCAAUUUUGACAUCAUGUGAAUUGACAAAUUUUUAUACAUCAAUUUUAACAACACAUUUUUCAAUCAAUGACCAGAUUUCAUACAAAUAAGAGUGCUAUCAAUGCCCCCAGGGCACAUCUCCAAGUGAUAAAAGGAGAGGGUGGAGAAAUCCAGCUUUGUUUGAGGCUGCUGCAUCAAGAGUUCGAAUCCUGAAAUAUGGACUUAGCUCUUAAGUAAGUGCAAGUGUACAAGCAGCCUUCCACCCUGUACCCUUGGAGGCAUAACCUGCGAUUUACCUCCCUCACGAUGCUCCAGAACAGAAGCGAUGAAGGACCUUUAAAAUUGGGGUUCAACCUUUUUUUUUUUUUAAGAGUGCUACCAAUAAAGCUAUCUUUAAAGCAAAGAAUCAUUUUUGGUGUACCCUGUCUAGAACACACACAAGGGGGUCAGUGGGGUGGAUAUAUUUUGCAAUUUUUUACACAUAUGGGGUGGGGCCCAUGGGAGUACUCUGUGAAGAAUUUAUUUUGCACACACAGACUAAUUCCAAAGCAAAAAGGAGAUGCUCAAUCCAUUUAUACAGAAAUGGUAAAGGGGCCCCUUUUUUCGACUUUGACUCACUUUAGUUGUCGAUUGAUUUUCUUCCCGCUGUUUCGAAAGCAGUUGUUUCAGCUGCAACCACUAUAAUUUUUGAUAUUCCUUUUUAUUUCUCAUCAAACAAAUCAUAGUUAUUCUUAACAUGAAAUUGGGAAAUUAUUGUUAUAACUUAUCACUCGAACGGGUAAUUUUUUCCCCUGAACGAAGAUAGAACGACGCUAGUCAUAACUAUCGCUUUCAGGCAUAUAAAAAACACCACUAUACAUGCAAGUUUAAAUUCAAUUCAGGACAAGACUACGAAGAAAUGAAACAAACAUUAAAGGUGUGUUUGAUUACAUUUAUUUUCCAUGGAAAAUAUUAGUUUUCCAUCCAAAUUUUCACUUGAAGUGUUUGAUUGCUAUUUUUUUCCAUGAAAAACAUUUCCCAACUUUUGAAAAUAUGCCUAAUUUUUCUUGUUAUUAAGGAAAAUAUUUUCCUUGAGUAGAGGUGAUUUUUAUUUUCCACAAAAGAUGGAAAAUAUUUUCUUUUCUAGGUGAUAUUUUUCAUUUCAAUUAAACACAUAAGAAAAUGCAGAGUCUUCCAUUUGUAUUCAUAACGAACAAGACGUACAGUUAUCGAAAUAUCUGUAUCACUUUCGAGUGCUGAUAUUCAGGUUAAACAUCAAACUAAUAAGAUCUGUCAAUCAAUUAAAUACUCAUGUAAUUCCUACUCCAAACAAGAAAAUAUCAAAUUACCCAGCCAAAUUAUCAAUUAAAAAUAAGUUUUUUUAUAUAUUUUUCGAAAAUCAAACAUUACAAUUUUUCAAUAUUUUCACCAAAAACACGAAUACCGAUUCUAGAUUCUUUCCUUUGAUGUAUUUGAUUUGGCAGGAAAUCUGAAACUACCCAAUCAAAUUUGUCUCUAAAAAGAAAACAGAUUUAUCACUCAAAUUAAAUGCUCAUUAAUUAUUUUACCAAGAUCCAGCUAUACACCAUCACAAUUGACAAAAUAAUUAUUAAAUCCAGACCUAUCACAGAGCAAAUCAAUUACCGAUCAAUUGGAAUCCAAUAAGAACACAGCGUUUCACAUAUAAACAUUCACCGCGGCCUCCGAUUCAGUUGAUGCAAGGCAGGAACAUGAUUUUCGCCAAAAACAACGACAUCAUUUACAAGCAUAUGGUAGACAUUUGUAUUCACAAAGUUCGGAUCGCUCAUCGACGUGAAAACGACGCCGUAGUAAGCGAACAAUGUUCCCGACCUGCACCAAGCGAAUCUGAGACCACUGCAACAAAAAGAUAUACAAAUUUAUGUAUUAUACGGUACCUAUAGAAUUAGAUCUGAGAAAAAGAAACAGAGAGAAACUGAGAUUUUGUAGGCGUGUGAAUAUGUGAGAGAGGUGAUUUG
rnacentral:lncRNA from 1 species